rnacentral:rRNA from 1 species
AGGAUGAACGCUGGCGGCGUGCCUAACACAUGCAAGUCGAACGUCCUGUCUCGCAAGAGGCAGGGAGUGGCGGACGGGUGAGUACCACGUGGGUUAUCUACCGUGAGGUGAGGAAUACCGGCGAGAAAUCGCCGACAAGACCGCAUAGCCUCGGUGCAAGCCGAGGAAAGCUCUCUCGAGAGAGGGAGCGCCACACGAGGAGCCUGCGCCCGAUUAGCUAGCUGGUGGAGUAACGGUUCACCAGGGCGACGAUCGGUAGCUGGUCUGAGAGGACGAUCAGCCACACUGGGAUUGAGAACGGCCCAGACUCCUACGGGGGGCAGCAGUGAGGAAUUUUCGUCAAUGGGGGCAACCCUGAACGAGCAACGCCGCGUGCAGGAAGAAGGUUUUCGGAUCGUAAACUGCUUUUCUCGGGGAAGAGAACGGACGGUACCCGAGGAAUCAGCCCCGGCUAACUACGUGCCAGCAGCCGCGGUAA